rnacentral:rRNA from 1 species
UACGUAGGGGGCAAGCGUUAUCCGGAUUUACUGGGUGUAAAGGGAGCGUAGACGGCUGUGCAAGCCAGAUGUGAAAGCCCGGGGUUCAACCCCGGGACUGCAUUUGGAACUGUGUAGCUGGAGUGUCGGAGAGGCAGGCGGAAUUCCUAGUGUAGCGGUGAAAUGCGUAGAUAUUAGGAGGAACACCAGUGGCGAAGGCGGCCUGCUGGACGAUGACUGACGUUGAGGCUCGAAAGCGUGGGGAGCGAACAGG